rnacentral:rRNA from 1 species
UACGUAGGGGGCAAGCGUUGUCCGGAAUCAUUGGGCGUAAAGAGCGCGUAGGCGGCCCUGUAAGUCCGCUGUGAAAGUCAAGGGCUCAACCCUUGAAUGCCGGUGGAUACUGCAGGGCUAGAGUCCGGAAGAGGCGAGUGGAAUUCCUGGUGUAGCGGUGGAAUGCGCAGAUAUCUGAAGGAACAUCAGUGGCGAAAGCGACUUCCUGGACCAAUACUGACGCUCAUGUGCGAAAGCGUGGGGAGCAAACAGG